rnacentral:misc_RNA from 1 species
GCGAGCGCGCCAUUGAAGGGAUCUUCGAAGCUCUUUUUCUUCCUUCGCUCCCAUGGCGGCCUCUGCUCGAGCUUUCUUCCUGUCUCGUGUCACUGACUUUUCAAUUAAGCCCCGCCUACCUCCCCAACCACCGCCGCCGCCCCCGCCCUUGCCUUCUUUUUCCUAUUCACAUCUCAGCCUUCAACGGCGGCGCUUUCCCCCCACGUCUGGUGCAACCACUGUCAGCUGCCUUAUCUCCGGUGUUGAUGGUGGUGGAGUUUCCGAUGACUUUGUUUCUACCCGGAAGUUGAAAUUCGAUCGCGGAUUCUCCGUAAUCGCCAAUAUGCUUAAGCGGAUUGAGCCGCUUGAUACAUCCGAUAUCUCCAAGGGCGUUUCUGAUGUUG